rnacentral:rRNA from 1 species
AUUGAACGCUGGCGGCAGGCUUAACACAUGCAAGUCGAGCGGGGUGAUGGUGCUUGCACUAUCACUUAGCGGCGGACGGGUGAGUAAUGCUUAGGAAUCUGCCUAUUAGUGGGGGACAACAUCUCGAAAGGGAUGCUAAUACCGCAUACGUCCUACGGGAGAAAGCAGGGGAUCACUUGUGACCUUGCGCUAAUAGAUGAGCCUAAGUCGGAUUAGCUAGUUGGUGGGGUAAAGGCCUACCAAGGCGACGAUCUGUAGCGGGUCUGAGAGGAUGAUCCGCCACACUGGGACUGAGACACGGCCCAGAAUCCUACGGGAGGCAGCAGUGGGGAAUAUUGGACAAUGGGGGGAACCCUGAUCCAGCCAUGCCGCGUGUGUGAAGAAGGCCUUAUGGUUGUAAAGCACUUUAAGCGAGGAGGAGGCUACUAGUACUAAUACUACUGGAUAGUGGACGUUACUCGCAGAAUAAGCACCGGCUAACUCUGUGCCAGCAGCCGCAGUAA